AGUGAACGCUGGCGGUAGGCCUAACACAUGCAAGUCGAACGGCAGCACAGUAAGAGCUUGCUCUUACGGGUGGCGAGUGGCGGACGGGUGAGGAAUACAUCGGAAUCUACUUUUUCGUGGGGGAUAACGUAGGGAAACUUACGCUAAUACCGCAUACGACCUACGGGUGAAAGCAGGGGAUCUUCGGACCUUGCGCGAUUGAAUGAGCCGAUGUCGGAUUAGCUAGUUGGCGGGGUAAAGGCCCACCAAGGCGACGAUCCGUAGCUGGUCUGAGGGGAUGAUCAGCCACACUGGAACUGAGACACGGUCCAGACUCCUACGGGAGGCAGCAGUGGGGAAUAUUGGACAAUGGGCGCAAGCCUGAUCCAGCCAUACCGCGUGGGUGAAGAAGGCCUUCGGGUUGUAAGGCCCUUUUGUUGGGAAAGAAAAGCAGCAGGUUAAUACCCCGCUGUUCUGACGGUACCCAAAGAAUAAGCACCGGCUAACUUCGU
rnacentral:rRNA from 1 species